rnacentral:tRNA from 1 species
UCCCUGGUGGUCCAGUGGUUAAGACUCUGCACUCACAAUGCAAGGGGCCGGGGGUUUCAUCCUUCCUCAGGAA